GACGAACGCUGGCGGCGUGCUUAACACAUGCAAGUCGAACGGAAAGGCCCUGCUUUUGUGGGGUGCUCGAGUGGCGAACAGGUGAGUAACACGUGAGUAACCUGCCCUUGACUUUGGGAUAACUUCAGGAAAAUGGGGCUAAUACCGGAUAGGAGCUCCUGCUGCUUGGUGGGGGUUGGAAAGUUUCGGCGGUUGGGGAUGGACUCGCGGCUUAUCAGCUUGUUGGUGGGGUAGUGGCUUACCAAGGCUUUGACGGGUAGCCGGCCUGAGAGGGUGACCGGCCACAUUGGGACUGCGAUACGGCCCAGACUCCUACGGGAGGCAGCAGUGGGGAAUAUUGCACAAUGGGCGGAAGCCUGAUGCAGCAACGCCGCGUGCGGGAUGACGGCCUUCGGGUUGUAAACCGCUUUCGCCUGUGACGAAGCGUGAGUGACGGUAAUGGGUAAAGAAGCACCGGCUAACUACGUG
rnacentral:rRNA from 1 species